CAGUAGCCGCGGUAAUACGUAGGGUCCGAGCGUUGUCCGGAAUUACUGGGCGUAAAGAGCUCGUAGGUGGUUUGUCGCGUUGUUCGUGAAAACUCACGGCUCAACUGUGGGCGUGCGGGCGAUACGGGCAGACUGGAGUACUGCAGGGGAGACUGGAAUUCCUGGUGUAGCGGUGGAAUGCGCAGAUAUCAGGAGGAACACCGGUGGCGAAGGCGGGUCUCUGGGCAGUAACUGACGCUGAGGAGCGAAAGCGUGGGGAGCGAACAGGAUUAGAUACCCCCGUAGUCCCUGUCUCUUAUAU
rnacentral:rRNA from 1 species